rnacentral:rRNA from 1 species
GACGAACGCUGGCGGCGUGCUUAACACAUGCAAGUCGAACGGUGAGGCCCUUCGGGGUACACGAGUGGCGAACGGGUGAGUAACACGUGGGUGAUCUGCCCUGCACUUCGGGAUAAGCCUGGGAAACUGGGUCUAAUACCGGAUAGGACCACUGCCUGCAUGGGUGGUGGUGGAAGGCUUUUGCGGUGUGGGAUGGGCCCGCGGCCUAUCAGCUUGUUGGUGGGGUGAUGGCCUACCAAGGCGACGACGGGUAGCCGGCCUGAGAGGGUGACCGGCCACACUGGGACUGAGAUACGGCCCAGACUCCUACGGGAGGCAGCAGUGGGGAAUAUUGCACAAUGGGCGCAAGCCUGAUGCAGCGACGCCGCGUGAGGGAUGACGGCCUUCGGGUUGUAAACCUCUUUCAGCACCGACGAAGCGCAAGUGACGGUAGGUGCAGAAGAAGGACCGGCCAACUACGUGCCAGCCGCCGCGGUAA